rnacentral:rRNA from 1 species
GAUGAACGCUGGCGGCGUGCCUAAUACAUGCAAGUCGAGCGAACGGAUAAGGAGCUUGCUCCUUUGAAGUUAGCGGCGGACGGGUGAGUAACACGUGGGUAACCUACCUAUAAGACUGGAAUAACUUCGGGAAACCGGAGCUAAUGCCGGAUAACAUUUGGAACUGCAUGGUUCUAAAGUAAAAGAUGGUUUUGCUAUCACUUAUAGAUGGACCCGCGCCGUAUUAGCUAGUUGGUAAGGUAACGGCUUACCAAGGCAACGAUACGUAGCCGACCUGAGAGGGUGAUCGGCCACCCUGGAACUGCGACACGGGCCAGACUCGUACGGGAGGCAGCAGUAGGGAAUCUUCCGCAAUGGACGAAACUCUGUCGGAGCAAGGGCCCGUGAAUGAUGUAGAUUUUCGGAUCGUAAAACUCUGUUAUUAGGGAAGAUAAAAGGUGUAAUUAGCUGUGCACAUCUUGACGGUACCUAAUCAGAAACCCGCGGCUGCCUACGUGCCAGCCGCCGCCGUAA